rnacentral:rRNA from 1 species
AUGAACGCUGGCGGCGUGCCUAAUACCUGCAAGUCGAGCGAACAGACGAGGAGCUUGCUCCUCUGACGUUAGCGGCGGACGGGUGAGUAACACGUGGAUAACCUACCUAUAAGACUGGGAUAACUUCGGGAAACCGGAGCUAAUACCGGAUAAUAUAUUGAACCGCAUGGUUCAAUAGUGAAAGACGGUUUUGCUGUCACUUAUAGAUGGAUCCGCGCCGCAUUAGCUAGUUGGUAAGGUAACGGCUUACCAAGGCGACGAUGCGUAGCCGACCUGAGAGGGUGAUCGGCCACACUGGAACUGAGACACGGUCCAGACUCCUACGGGAGGCAGCAGUAGGGAAUCUUCCGCAGUGGGCGAAAGCCUGACGGAGCAACGCCGCGUGAGUGAUGAAGGUCUUCGGAUCGUAAAACUCUGUUAUUAGGGAAGAACAAAUGUGUAAGUAACUAUGCACGUCUUGACGGUACCUAAUCAGAAAGCCACGGCUAACUACGU